GCCAUGUCUAGAUGUUCUUCCUUCACGCGCACGGCAAUGACUAAAGAGGAAGGGGGGGCGGUUGGAGAACAGAGUGGGGGAGAAGGGCUGCCUCUGAGCACUGGAGCAGGCCGGCCCUGGCUUGACCCUGCCCGGGAGGCUCUUACUCUCUUCAGGAACAGGAUCCGGUGAGAUCUUCUCUGCGGCCUGCAGGUCAUCCUCCAGCAGGGGCUUCUUGGACCCCUGUCUGAGGGGCCGGGUCUUGGUCGGUGGUAUUCUUUUCCCUUUGAAUAAAAACAGAAUGAAACCCA